rnacentral:rRNA from 1 species
AGUACGAUCGCAAGAUUAAAACUCAAAGGAAUGGACGGGGCCCCGCACAAGCAGCGGAGCAUGCGGCUUAAUUCGACGCAACGCGAAGAACCUUACCAAGGCUUGACAUAUACAGGAAUAUGGCAGAGAUGUCAUAGCCGCAAGGUCUGUAUACAGGUGGUGCAUGGUUGUCGUCAGCUCGUGUCGUGAGAUGUUGGGUUAAGUCCCGCAACGAGCGCAACCCUCGUUCUGUGUUGCCAGCAUUUAGUUGGGGACUCACAGGAGACUGCCGGGGUUAACUCGGAGGAAGGUGGGGAUGACGUCAAAUCACCAUGCCCCUUAUGUCUUGGGCUGCACGCAUGCUACAAUGGCUGGUACAAACGGCUGCGAUACCGCAAGGUGGAGCGAAUCCGAUAAAGCCAGUCUCAGUUCGGAUUGGGGUCUGCAACUCGACCCCAUGAAGUCGGAGUUGCUAGUAAUCGUAGAUCAGCAACGCUACGGUGAAUACGUUCCCGGGGCUUGUACACACCGCCCGUCACGUCACGAAAGUCGGUAACACCCGAAGUCAGUGGCCCAACCGCAAGGAGGGAGCUGCCGAAGGUGGGAUCAGUGAUUGGGACG